AACGAACGCUGGCGGCAUGCCUAACACAUGCAAGUCGAACGAGACCUUCGGGUCUAGUGGCGCACGGGUGCGUAACGCGUGGGAACCUGCCCUUAGGUUCGGAAUAACUCCCCGAAAGGGGUGCUAAUACCGGAUAAUGUCUUCGGACCAAAGAUUUAUCGCCUUUGGAUGGGCCCGCGUUGGAUUAGCUAGUUGGUAGGGUAAAAGCCUACCAAGGCGACGAUCCAUAGCUGGUCUGAGAGGAUGAUCAGCCACACUGGGACUGAGACACGGCCCAGACCCCUACGGGGGCAGCCAGUGGGGAUUUUUGGACAUUGGCCGAAGGCCUGAUCCACCAAGCCGGCUGGAGUGAUGAAGGCUUUAGGGUUGUAAGCUCUUUUACCCGGGAUGAUAAUGACAGUACCGGGAGAAUAAGCUCCGGCUAACUCCGUG
rnacentral:rRNA from 1 species